GAGUUUGAUCCUGGCUCAGGACGAACGCUGGCGGCGUGCCUAAUACAUGCAAGUAGAACGCUGAAGAGAGGAGCUUGCUCUUCUUGGAUGAGUUGCGAACGGGUGAGUAACGCGUAGGUAACCUGCCUGGUAGCGGGGGAUAACUAUUGGAAACGAUAGCUAAUACCGCAUAAAAUUGAUUAUUGCAUGAUAAUUAAUUGAAAGAUGCAAUUGCAUCACUACCAGAUGGACCUGCGUUGUAUUAGCUAGUUGGUGAGGUAACGGCUCACCAAGGCGACGAUACAUAGCCGACCUGAGAGGGUGAUCGGCCACACUGGGACUGAGACACGGCCCAGACUCCUACGGGAGGCAGCAGUAGGGAAUCUUCGGCAAUGGGGGGAACCCUGACCGAGCAACGCCGCGUGAGUGAAGAAGGUUUUCGGAUCGUAAAGCUCUGUUGUAAGAGAAGAACGGGUGUGAGAGUGGAAAGUUCACACUGUGACGGUAUCUUACCAGAAAGGGACGGCUAACUACGUGCCAGCAGCCGCGGUAAUACGUAGGUCCCGAGCGUUGUCCGGAUUUAUUGGGCGUAAAGCGAGCGCAGGCGGUUAGAUAAGUCUGAAGUUAAAGGCUGUGGCUUAACCAUAGUAUGCCUUGGAAACUGUUUAACUUGAGUGCAGAAGGGGAGAGUGGAAUUCCAUGUGUAGCGGUGAAAUGCGUAGAUAUAUGGAGGAACACCGGUGGCGAAAGCGGCUCUCUGGUCUGUAACUGACGCUGAGGCUCGAAAGCGUGGGGAGCAAACAGGAUUAGAUACCCUGGUAGUCCACGCCGUAAACGAUGAGUGCUAGGUGUUAGGCCCUUUCCGGGGCUUAGUGCCGCAGCUAACGCAUUAAGCACUCCGCCUGGGGAGUACGACCGCAAGGUUGAAACUCAAAGGAAUUGACGGGGGCCCGCACAAGCGGUGGAGCAUGUGGUUUAAUUGGAAGCAACGCGAAGAACCUUACCAGGUCUUGACAUCCCUCUGACCGCUCUAGAGAUAGAGUUUUCCUUCGGGACAGCGGUGACAGGUGGUGCAUGGUUGUCGUCAGCUCGUGUCGUGAGAUGUUGGGUUAAGUCCCGCAACGAGCGCAACCCCUAUUGUUAGUUGCCAUCAUUCAGUUGGGCACUCUAGCGAGACUGCCGGUAAUAAACCGGAGGAAGGUGGGGAUGACGUCAAAUCAUCAUGCCCCUUAUGACCUGGGCUACACACGUGCUACAAUGGCUGGUACAACGAGUCGCAAGCCGGUGACGGCAAGCUAAUCUCUGAAAGCCAGUCUCAGUUCGGAUUGUAGGCUGCAACUCGCCUACAUGAAGUCGGAAUCGCUAGUAAUCGCGGAUCAGCACGCCGCGGUGAAUACGUUCCCGGGCCUUGUACACACCGCC
rnacentral:rRNA from 1 species